ACACAGUUUAACAUGAUGGACUAUAGGACAGGACUGCUGCUUUUAACUCUCUGCUGGGCAGGUGUUGAUGGUCAGACUCUGACACAAUCUGAACCAGUAAUUAAAAGACCUGGAGAAUCCCACAGAUUGACCUGUACAGCCUCUGGGUUGGAUGUUAAUGGCUACUGGAUGCACUGGAUCAGACAGGCUCCUGGAAAAGGACUGGAAUGGAUUGCUUACAUUACCAGUGACAGUAGUAGCAAAUACUACUCUCAGUCAGUUCAAGGCCGGUUUACCAUCUCCAGAGACAACAACAGAAAGCAGCUGUAUCUGCAGAUGAACAGUCUGAAGACUGAAGAUUCUGCUGUUUAUUAUUGUGCUCGAGAGCCACAGUGACUGGAGUUGGUUGAGCAGCUGUACAAAAUCCUACAGUAUUCAUUCUUUCAGGCUGGUAGAGCCCAAGCAUGAAGUAUUUUUCUUAACAUUUAUGUAUUUAUUUAUUUUUAUAUUAGCUUUUGUUGUUUUGAGGUUGUUAAUUUGUUUUAU